CCGCCGGGCCGUCGGAGGGAGUCGCCUAUUUAGGGUGCAGCGGCGGGUGGGAGCGGUGCGCCCAUGGCGGCCCUGGGGGACGAGGUGCUGGAUGGUUACGUGUUCCCAGCGUGCGCCCCCUGCUCGUACCCGUACCCCAACCCGGCGGCCACCAAGGGCAGGAGCGCGGCGGGCGGCAGCUGGCAGCACCGCGGCGGGGGCUGCCUUCCCGCCUCCUCGUCCUCCUCCCCAUUCUCGGCGGGCGCGGCCUCAUCUUCCCUCCCGGGCUGCAGGCAGCUGACGGCCGCCGAGUACUUCGACAGCUACCAGCGGGCGCAGCUCAUGGCCCUCCUGGCGCAGGUGGGGCCUGGCCUCGGGCGGCGCGCCCGCGCCCGCAGGGUCUGCAGCUGCGACGUGGCAGUGCAGGUGAGCCCGCGCGUCGACGCUGCGGUGCAGUGCUCGCUGGGGAGGCGCACGCUGCAGCGCCGGGCCCGCGACCCCCAGUCCCCGGCUGGCCCCGGCGCCGGCGCCGAGGGCACAACCGGCGGCGGCUCUCCCUCCCAGCUGCCGGCCCGCCGGGGCCCAGAGCAGGGCAGCCCCCUGAGCGGCGCCCCGCGGCCCGUGCGCUUUCCCCGCACCGUCGCGGUGUACUCGUCCGUGGCCUCGCGCCGCGUCACCGCCUUCCUGAGGGGACCCGGGCCCAGGGCCGCGGCGGGGGAGCAGAGAUCGCCGCCCGUGCGACUUCAAGGCCCAGAGGAGGGAGAGGCGUCGGCGAGCAAGGUGCCCCGACGGCCGCAGUCCGAGGACGACGAGGACGACUGCGAGGUCCAGGCCGCGGUCCGGACGAGCGGGGAGCUGCCGGCCGACGGCGCCGGGCUGCCGCCGCCGGAGGCCCAGGAGGGCUCGGCGGCUCGGGGGUCGGCGCUAAAGAGCCCAGGGCAGUCUCCGCCAGCGGGGAGGGCCCGAGACGGCGGCGACGGGAGGGAGGCGGCCGCCGCCGGAGAGAGGCAGUCGCCACGGAGCCCGGAGCCGUGCAAGGAGCGGCUGCGCUUCCAGUUCUUAGAGCAGAAAUAUGGCUAUUACCACUGCAAGGACUGCAACAUCCGAUGGGAGAGUGCUUACGUGUGGUGUGUACAGGGAACUAACAAGGUUUACUUCAAACAGUUUUGCAGAACUUGUCAGAAGUCUUAUAACCCUUACCGAGUGGAGGAUAUCGCCUGUAAAAGUUGUAAACAAACUAAAUGUUCCUGCCCAGUAAAACUUCGCCACGUGGAUCCUAAACGGCCCCAUCGUCAAGAUUUGUGCGGGAGAUGCAAAGGCAAACGCCUGUCCUGUGACAGCACUUUCAGCUUCAAAUACAUCAUUUAAGUGAAAGUGUUGCUGUGCUGAUGGAGCAAGUGAGCUUUUCUGUGCCUCUUCUCUUGCUUCUCAAAAUGCUUCGUGAAAGGCAGUGUAUUCUGAAAAAGCCUUCCAAUAAAGGUUAUGCUACUGUUUUAUGUGAGCAGUCUUCACUCAUAGGCCUGGAUGAGUCUUUUCCAAGAAAGCGUGUCAUGAUUUCCUAAAUUUAAGAAGCAGCAUCAAGAAACUGGCAGAUUGCUGCUUUUUCUGUUGUCUUACAAACAUACUAUCUAAAAAUGAUAAAUGUAGUGGGCUAAAGAAAAAGGUAUGUAGCAAAAACUGGACUCCAAAUGGAACUAAAUCAGGUAAUAAAUGCUAACUUGGGAUUCAGAGGAUGAGGAGCAGAGAAGUGUAGGCUGGAGGAAAAUGCCGUUGCAGAAGGCCAUCCUAAUGAACUUGUUUGCAUCUUGCUUGCUGCAGGUACAUUCAUUUUUAUUAUAUUAUUAAUAGACUUAGUUACAUAUAAACACAAAAAACAAAUAUCAACUGUUUGAAAGGUUUGGUUGGGCAGUCAACUAAUUUUGUUCUUUUUUAGGGCAAUUCAAGAAGAAAGUAACAUCUGAAAGGGUUCUAAAUGAUGCACACUAGAAUCAUUCAUUCUUUGUUAAAAUACAACACAAACCAACAGCUACAAUGCUUUUUAUUUUUAACAGAAAGGAUGUAAGGAGGGUGAGAAAAAUAGGGGAUAGUAAGGUAGGAUGUAAAGUGUGAUGUAUCUCUGGACCCCAUCCCUCUCUGCCUGCCCCACCCCCAAAAGUUUUAAAUAAUUUAAAGGACACCAUUUACAGUACCAGAAUACCAUCAAAAUAAUUGUCUUUAUCAGGGUCAAAAAAUACAGUGAUUAUGAAUGAGCAGUGACCAGUUAUGGAAUUUUACUGGAAACGUAACUGUGGUCAGCAGUCCAAUGGUGUGCACAAUGCCUUCAAUUAAUGCACUUGAGCAUACGUAAUUACAUUUCUGGCAGGGUCCACACCAAGAAAAGGUAAAGCUAAGCAUUUCAUCUCUACAUUCUAAACUCUGGAAUCACAGAGCCCAGUUUAAAAGAAAAGUCACAGUGGAUAAGAGAUGUAUAUAAAAAAUACAAGGUGUUUCUUUCAAUCAGGAGUUGUGGGACUACAUUUUUUUUUCCUUUUCUUACAAAAUGCUAUUUAAAAAAGGAUAGAGACUCCAGUUCAUGUUAUACUACAGACUUAGACAGUGAAUAAGUAUAUUGCAUGUUUUGGUAGUCUUCAGGCUUCCUUUCAUUUCCCCUAGCCCCAAGUUUCUUUAGGGUAAAAUAUGUGAGUCCUGAAUAAACACAGAAAAGUGCAUUUGCAGCUCUUUUCUAGAAUUCUGCAGACUUCAAAGCCUGCAAGUCAUAAAUUCCAUCAUCAAUGACCACAUUUUUUUCUUUAGCUUUGUACACCUAUUCUUGUAUAAUAACAGUGCAUGGCACAAAUGUACAAGAAAAUACUGGUUUUAGUCUAUACAGUUUCUAUAUGGAGCAAAAUAAGUUAACUUUUCUAAUGAGAAUAGCUGACGGGCAGCAUACAUCUUUAUUUUACAUUUUAAAGUCUCUGCAGGCAUCUACUUUGGUUAGUUAUCAACAAUCGUAACAUAAGCACUGAUCAGAGAACUGAGCAGCAUUCCAAUAAUGUUAACAGAUAUAUUAUUUCUUUUUGAAAUACUGGGAAAGCCCAGCUUUAAAAUAUUAUUAAAAUGUUCUAACAUUUACAUACUAUGAAGAGUUAGAUCUAAUAAAAUAACAUUUCUUCAAAAAUAAUCUUGCAGUGCUCUUUUAGGCAUGCUCUGAGACGUUAUCACCAAACAUCCAUACCUUGAAAAUAUGACUAUCACAUAACCACACAUCCCAACUCACACACACAUAAUUCCUUAUACAGACCAAAAAA